rnacentral:sRNA from 1 species
AUGUACCACGCGUCCACUGCGGUUCUGAGCGCUGCGUCCGCGCCCGCCUGACAGCGGCUCGCUACGUAUUCUUGCA